UUCCAAAACGCGGCAGAACGUUUCAUCGCAGAGCAUCCACGCUGAACCAGACGUUGAACUACAUUUCCCUACGACUGAGGGUAAAUGGGCGUGUAGAUACGGUGACCGUUUCCGCAUAAAUAGCGCCCUCUCCCGCUGUAUCAUCCUCUUUCGGCUGCUCUCCUCGCUCAGAGACUUAUCUCCACACGAUGAGAGCCAAGUGGAGGAAGAAGCGCAUGCGCAGACUGAAGCGUAAGAGGAGGAAGAUGAGGCAGAGGUCAAAGUAGACGCCCUCUCCCAGCAGCUGUUCCUGUCCUGUGUGGUGAAGCGGUGAUCGGGCCAGGCGUCCAGAGUGGAAGCAGCAUGCGUGGAGCCAGUCUUCAAGAAAGAAUACGGCCCAGCGCUGGAUUGACACACUGACCCUGGACCAGCAGAUGUGGAUCUCUGCGGGACGAACCAAUCUUUUAACACCAGAACCAAAGCUGUUUUUAACGCCAUAAUAAACUUUGGUUACCACAUAA